AGCGGAGAAGAAGAGUCGUAUCCUGGGAACGAAGAGGCAAGAUAGGAAACUGUUCGAAAGUCGUCCAUCGUGUAACUUUCUUUUGUUUUAUUGUUUUAAUCCCACAUUUUUAAGGCUUCGUUCAGGAUCGAACAGAAAAGUUAGAAGACGACGGUUGGAAAAGAACGUCGUCGUGAUUCGACCGCCAUGUUGAGAUUCGGGAUUGACCAAAAAUCUGCUGGAAGUUGGAUGGCCCGGAAUGAAAAAUACGAAUAGCUACGUUUGUCCUUAUUGCAGUAAAGUCUUUCGAUGCAAAUCUCAACUUGAUGAACAUCUCAUAUCCCAUUCAAAAGAUCAAAACUGCCGAUGCGAAUUUUGUCCUAUGAAAUAUAAACACGAGAACAGUUUGGAGUACCAUAUAAAACAGAAACAUCAGAUAGAAAUGCACCAAGAGGGUAACCAAACUAUGGAAGUAGCUAAUACUUUUAGGCCGAGUCUCCACUACCGUAAAA